AUACGAAAGGUGCAAGCGUUGUUCGGAUUUACUGGGCGUAAAGAGAGUGUAGGUUGUUUAUUAAGUCGGAUGUGAAAUCCCGGGGCUCAACCUCGGAACUGCAUUCGAUACUGAUAGGCUAGAGUUUGGGAGGGGUAAGCGGAAUUCCGUGUGUAGCAGUGAAAUGCGUAGAUAUACGGAGGAACACCUGAGGCGAAGUCGGCUUACUGGACCAAUACUGACACUGAGACUCGAAAGCGUGGGUAGCAAACAGGAUUAGAUACCCGGGUAGUCC
rnacentral:rRNA from 1 species